UGCAAGUCGAACGCUUCUUUUUCCACCGGAGCUUGCUCCACCGGAAAAAGAGGAGUGGCGAACGGGUGAGUAACACGUGGGUAACCUGCCCAUCAGAAGGGGAUAACACUUGGAAACAGGUGCUAAUACCGUAUAACAAUCGAAACCGCAUGGUUUUGAUUUGAAAGGCGCUUUCGGGUGUCGCUGAUGGAUGGACCCGCGGUGCAUUAGCUAGUUGGUGAGGUAACGGCUCACCAAGGCGACGAUGCAUAGCCGACCUGAGAGGGUGAUCGGCCACAUUGGGACUGAGACACGGCCCAAACUCCUACGGGAGGCAGCAGUAGGGAAUCUUCGGCAAUGGACGAAAGUCUGACCGAGCAACGCCGCGUGAGUGAAGAAGGUUUUCGGAUCGUAAAACUCUGUUGUUAGAGAAGAACAAGGAUGAGAGUAACUGUUCAUCCCUUGACGGUAUCUAACCAGAAAGCCACGGCUAACUACG
rnacentral:rRNA from 1 species